rnacentral:rRNA from 1 species
UAGGGAAUCUUCCACAAUGGACGCAAGUCUGAUGGAGCAACGCCGCGUGAGCGAAGAAGGUCUUCGGAUCGUAAAACUCUGUUGUUAGAGAAGAACACAGGUGAGAGUAACUGUUCACCUGUUGACGGUAUCUAACCAGCAAGUCACGGCUAACUACGUGCCAGCAGCCGCGGUAAUACGUAGGUGGCAAGCGUUAUCCGGAUUUAUUGGGCGUAAAGGGAACGCAGGCGGUUCUUUAAGUCUGAUGUGAAAGCCUUCGGCUUAACCGAAGAUGUGCAUUGGAAACUGGGGAACUUGAGUGCAGAAGAGGAGAGUGGAACUCCAUGUGUAGCGGUGAAAUGCGUAGAUAUAUGGAAGAACACCAGUGGCGAAAGCGGCUCUCUGGUCUGUAACUGACGCUGAGGUUCGAAAGCGUGGGUAGCGAACAG